rnacentral:rRNA from 1 species
UACGUAGGGACCGAGCGUUGUCCGGAUUCAUUGGGCGUAAAGCGCGCGUAGGCGGUUAUCUAAGUCGGAUGUGAAAGCCCUCGGCUUAACUGAGGAAGUGCACCCGAAACUGGAUAGCUAGAGUACGAAAGAGGGUCGCGGAAUUCCCGGUGUAGAGGUGAAAUUCGUAGAUAUCGGGAGGAACACCAGUGGCGAAGGCGGCGACCUGGGCCAAUAUUGACGCUGAGGUGCGAAAGCGUGGGGAGCAAACAG